rnacentral:lncRNA from 1 species
UCCUUCGUAUUCAAGGCUCUUCUUCUGACAUCAAAUCUUCAGUGCACUCAAAGAGAAGACUCAGAGUUCGAGAAGCCCUUUCUUCCUCUUCCGAAAUCUGUUUGAGGGCUUCUAACUUUACUCUAUUCAUAUUGUUUUAUAUUUGCUUUUUAAGAAGCUUUCCUUGUAUCUUUUCCCAAACUAUUUUUCUUACUUGGUUCAAUCAGG